rnacentral:rRNA from 1 species
UAGGGAAUCUUCCGCAAUGGACGCAAGUCUGACGGAGCAACGCCGCGUGAGUGAAGAAGGAUUUCGGUUCGUAAAACUCUGUUGUUAGAGAAGAACAGCGCAUAGAGUAACUGUUAUGCGUGUGACGGUAUCUAACCAGAAAGCCACGGCUAACUACGUGCCAGCAGUCGCGGUAAUACGUAGGUGGCAAGCGUUGUCCGGAUUUAUUGGGCGUAAAGCGAGCGCAGGCGGUCAAUUAAGUCUGAUGUGAAAGCCCCCGGCUCAACCGGGGAGGGUCAUUGGAAACUGGUUGACUUGAGUGCAGAAGAGGAGAGUGGAAUUCCAUGUGUAGCGGUGAAAUGCGUAGAUAUAUGGAGGAACACCAGUGGCGAAGGCGACUCUCUGGUCUGUAACUGACGCUGAGGCUCGAAAGCGUGGGUAGCAAACAGG